UGAUCGGCCUGCAGGAUCGUCGUCUAUUGGGUGGUUUUCUCUGCUUUACCUCCCCAGUUUUAGACUCCGUAUGAUUAGUUCCGGACCUUGGCAAGAUAUUGUGGUAUGAUGUGCUGUGAGAUGUUUUAAGACUACUACUGGGUAGUUGCUCGAUUUGUGUUUUUUACUGUUAUGUUAAGGAAUUUUGAUAUGGUUGCGUACUUGCACUAUAUUUUAUGCUAUGUUUCAGGUUUCAUGCUGAAUGAUGUUGUCUGAUGACUGAUGUCGUGUUUAAGUUAGCCGGAUGAGUUGAAUGGGGCAAAUACAAUCACUUUGAUCAUCUAGGAAAUGCCCAUGUUGCUCUUUAUUCUCUGCAUCUUCCAUUGGGUCUUCAGUAUAAUUUAUAUAAGAGUGUUAAGACUGAUUUGCUUAGGAUGAUACGGUUGAUUUCUGUGCUUUACCUCGCAAAUUCUAGAAUGUUGAUGCUUUGCUCCGGCUCGUGUAUAGACAUCAUGAUAUGAAUGUGAUGUGAGAUGUUUGUGGAUAUCGGUUAGUUGCUGGAAUACGACUUUGCUUGAUACCCAAUUUGAGGAAUUUAGAUAUCAUUACCUUGUAUUGAUGCUAUGCCAGUUGAUGCCAUGUUUCUAGUUUCAUUAGAUUGUUGCAAAUAAAUAUCAUUUUGAUCAACUAUGAAUUGCCCAUCUUGCUGUUGUUCUGCACAUCUUUGGUUAGGAGUGAUCUGUCCGGGCAUGUUGUGCUAACUGGUAUUCAACUAUAUCUGCACUCGGGUGUUGCAUAUUGUGUGUAUAUUGAUGAUGUCAAGUAGCAAAUGAUGCUUGUUAUCAUCUAUGGCAAAAGCACAGCGUUUAGUUCAUCUUCCUGUUUUGUUUAACUAGCCUAUAGGUAGAAGUUUUGACUGAUGGAAACAUAGUGUAGCUCCUUACAUACAUGUCGUAGUAUCUGCCUAUAGGAAAAACAUGCUAUCUGAUUUUAGCAGAAUAAGUUUAUCCUAAAUCAAACACGUAUCACUGUGUUGCUAGUUCUAUGUUAUGUCUGUGAUCUCUAAAUUAAGUUACCUACAUAGAGCAUUUCAUCAUUUGGUUAGCUUUUAAAAUUUGUACUAUAGUUCAGAAUGUUUGUAAACAGUUGAAAAAUCCACUUCUGGAAUGGUGCUCAGCAACACAGUGCAAAAUGCUGCCAUUCCUGACUAUCUGCUAGCAGUCUAGUAUUUGGUAUGCUUGCAUUCUACUGCUGUGUUGAGGUUUAGUUUGAAACAAGUCAUUGCUUCAAAUUUAUACUGUAGUUUUGGUUUCUGAUCUCAGUGCAACAUUGUAGCAUUGGCUAUGCUUCUCCUGUGUCAUCUGCUGCGUGUUUGAUCUGCGUUAUAUCUGAUGUUACAAGGAUUUUGCUACACUGUGAUGCAGAAUCCAUUCCUGUUGUUUCUGAAAUCACCUGGUGGAGAGCAGCAGCUUCGUGAGCUUCUUCUCACAUUAGUUGUCCCAAUUCUUGUUUCAUUUUUGAGUGUGCCUUAGUUUUUUCUCUUAACUGAUGUGAGUUGCGGUAAAUGUAAUGCAGUCGGGACGAUGUAUUGCACGUUGGAUACCUAGCACCAGGUAGAGAUUUGUAGAGCCAAUAGCGUGGGCUCCCAGCUUGCAGGCAAUGCUUUGUUCGGACAGCUCUGUGUUUUAAGAUCCAUGACUACCGUUUUGCUUCAGACCUGUGAACUAGUUAGGCUGUUUUGCUUCAGACCUGCAGACUGCUGUGGAACGUAUGCAAUGGUUAGACUGCCGUGGAACGUGUUGUGCAUGCUGAUUGUGAAUUAUGGAAGCUUUGUUGUAAAAUAUUGACUUUUGAAAUAUGAAAUGUACUCCCUCUGUCUCAAAAUGUAGUGUUGGAAAACAUCUUACAUUUUGAGUAAUAAUCUUUGUUAUGAUUUUUCAUAUUCUCAGUCGCUGAUCUGGGGCCUAAAGAAAAAUUCCUUGAACAAAAGAAAGCCGGGCACUCGGCAAUAUGCACCACUGCCAUGAAUGCAGUAGAAAUGUGGCACUUACACACCUGCGAAUUCGAUAACCAAAUUUUAGCUCAUUUGGGCGAUCUGAAUAGCACUUGUUUAGCCAAAUUUCCGGAUGGGAAUGGGCCGACCUGACCCUGGCCCUUGUGGCCCCAAGGUCAAUUUAAGAGGCCAUGGGUCGACCCAUAUAAAGAAUACUCAGCGACUUCGUUGGCUCAAUAUUUCGUGUCGAUUCAAAUUCUUGCUUUACAUUGUCUUGGACAAACAGGAUGUUAAAAUUAGGCACAAUUUAAUGGAAUCCGUGUAAAAUUAAGAUUUCUAAUACGUGGUUAACAAAAAAAAUCAAGUCGUUUGCUUGUGGUUUUGUACAUGUGCAUCUUGCCGAAACAUAUCAACACAAUUUUGUUGUUCAUAUACACAAGUGUUGGCCCCGUCGCGACGACGAUUGCAGCUGCUGUGAGAUACAGUAUAGUAGUAAGACUAUAAGGUGGUUUGACCCACUAAACCAAUUAGUCACUCGGUGCCAGCUAUGUUGACCCAAAUCUCGUUUGAGACCGACCCACAUGACCCAUUGACUUCAAAUUUUUGGGUCGGGUCAACGACCUAGCUGGCCGACUCGCCCCAUUCCCAUCUUGAGCCUAACUCAACAAGUGCAGGCCAUUUCCAGAUUUAACUAGCCAGUCACCAAACUAUUUCACAGGGAAUUGUUUUUGUUCCAUCAUCCUCAUUGCCAGUCUCCUUCCUUAGAGCAUAACAACCGAACGCCACAUAUCCGCCCCAAAUGCCCGGCCUGUCCUGUCACCGUCCGAGCGCAAAAUUGUCACCCAACUGGCCACCCCAAGCGCAGUCCAAACGCCUGGACUGACAGGCAAUCCCCAUACCCAGCCCAUAUGUGGGGCGGCUAUGAGGACGCCCGGACGCGUCCGCCGCGUCAAAUCCGACCCACUAUGGCCCACCCGACCCCACAUAUAUUCAUCCCUAUCCACUCUCCACACCAAACCCUAGCCAAUCAACUCCACUUCACUCCCUUCCUCACAUAGAUCCUUUUUGGCGAACUCCGGCCUACUCCAGCAUGGCGGGCAGUGGAUCUGACUCUAAGAGGUCCGGAUCCGUCGACUGGGGGCUUGUCAUCUGCGGCCUUGAGGAGGAGAUGGCCGUCUGCACUACUCUCCAAUGCUCCUGGGAGGAGUGCUCUCCUCGCCCCGAUGCCGGAAUCGAUCCGUCGGGAAUACAAUGCCUCCGCUCAAAUGGCGAUAGGAUCCGUGGGGCCAAUGGCUCAAGGCGCGUGACCGCGACCUUGUAGGAGGCGGUGACCACCGCAUGACGGGGCAACCCUGCUCUGCCGACGGAAUCGUUUAGGUGCCGCCUCAUCCCCGCGACGUCGGCCGCCGAAACAGAGGCCAUAGCAGCCACCAUGGUUUACGUCCAAACUGUCUAGGAGGCGCGGCGGGCAGUGGGAUGACGUAGCAACCCUUGAGAUGGAGGCUGCUUUGGCAGCCCACGAGGCGGGGUCGGUGAAAUCGCAUGCUAGUAUGGGCAAGGAUGACCAAGCCCUCCUUGCCCACAUAGCCAAGAAGCGGCAAAGGAGGGCGGUUUGUGCCAUGGAAAAAGAGCAAAGCGGGGCGGUCUGUGCCAUGGAUGGACUACGUCGACAUGAGGAGAAGGACGAGGGCAACGAUGGAUCCGAUAACUUCGACAGUGAGUAAACCCGUCUCGACCCGUUUUGAGUCCUCGACCAGUACUCCUGCAAGGAAGACGGCAAGGGCAAGGGUGACCGUGGAUGAACUUCUUCCAUCGUCAUUUCAUUCGUAGUUAGUAGAACAUGUCAAAUUUUGGUAAUAUGAUGACAUAUGUGUUCAAAUACGUGUGUAAUUUACCCAGGUUCAGGUCCUUGUUAUACGAGGUAAUACCCUACUCUUGAUCAUGUAUAUUGAUUGUAUAGGGGUUACAAAGAUCGAGGGAUUGAGUAAAUCUCUAGGGUUCUAAUGAGUUAUGUAUACGCAACUAGCUUGACCUCGACUUAUAUUGGUAUCGGGCUCUGGGGUUACAUGUUCUAAGUCGGUUAGGAGGAGACCUCCGGAUGCCGGUUGUCUUGUCUUGUACUCCAAGAAUUCUGGGCCCACCACAUUGUGAGGCCAUGGGGCGGGCUGAUUGGCCCAUGACAUAACCAGCCUAGGGGCUCUAGGUCGGCCUAGUCAGGCUGGCUUCUAGUAAGGUGAAGCGCCCCGCUGUAACACCACCAGUAUUUGUGACAUUCAAGCAAGUCUCAAGCAAUCAUUGCAUUCUAAGCUUAAGACUUGGGGGCUAUAUAAAUAUAUAUGAGUAGAGACAACAAGUUUUACCUCAUAUUUUCUCUUCUGGAGGUUGACUAUUGCACCUUCAGUUUCCCAGCUCUCAGACAACCGGGCCCGAUAGCUUUGAUGGAGCAAAUUCACAUCCAAAUUUUCAAACGCCUCUAAAUGAAGGCCGGCCUUCUAUUUAUCCCGGCUUGGCGACUUGUCGUUGGCCACUAUUUUCGCCAAGACGGUUGAAGACUCUGGAGGAGCGCCAUGGCUUUCACCAGUGAUAGGCACAUCAUCAUGAGCCUUUUUAGUUGGCUGCUCCAAUAUUGGAUCGUCUUUUUGCUCCUCCACAACAGGAGGAGUGGCAACGAGAGCAGGGCUACCGGGUUGUCCUGGUGAGACGACUCUUCUUGAACAACCGGGUCAUCCUAGGGUUCCGGGUUGUCCGUCACCAUGUCAUGGGAAGGGACUCCCAUCUUAGUGUCUACCACGUCGGCAGAAGAGUUACCGACUCUCUUCUUCACAAAGGCUUUGGCCCUAAAAAUUGCAAAUACAUGAUGAUCAAUAGAUGAAAGAAGCAUGUUAUGAGUUGACAAGUUCUUUAUACAACUUACCCGUGAUUGAUGUUGAAAGCCGACAGUUGGCUGGCGCUGGACUCGUCAGACAAGGGUGAAGUCGCUUGGUACUCACUAGGACGGUAUGUUUAAGUUGAAUGACUUCCUCACUAGGACAGUAAAUGAAUGCCCCAUGUGAGACCCGUGGUUCGGUGAGAUGCCAAAGGGAUAAGAAGUUCUUCAUAGAUCCGCCGAAUGACUUCCUCACUAGGACGGUAUGUUUAAGUUGAGCAUGUUCUGAUUGAGUUUCAUAUGUGAUGUAUACGGUUGUGCCCAAAAUUGUCUAACUAGCAAGUUGCUUAUUUCAAUUUUGCUCAGGUCAUCCCUUGCGGGGCAAGGCGUGACUUCUUAGAGAAGUUUCGAGUUCCAGUAGAUGCCACCAUCACAUUCUAGUGCACCCUCAUGAAGAUGCUGACGGCCCAACAAUUCAAUUGUCUCGUCACCAAUGAGGCAAACCGCACCUAUUUCAGUUGCCCUGGUUGGAAAGCCCUUGCAACUGCUUACGAGAUGGAAGCUGGAGAAAGAGCCACGUUCUACCUCGACUACGAUUGUGAUGAGAUCAUGGUCUACUACAGGCCUACUGGCAGCGACGAUGGUUCACUUACUCCAUACUAUGCUGACUCCGCCCGCCGAAAAGUCUAGUUAGCUAGUUGGCAUGCAUGGAAGAUCUCAUGUUAUUAUAACCUCUAUUUAUUUGAACUUUGUGACGCCCCCGAUUCAAUCGUACACUAAUCAUACACGCAAACGUGUACGAUCAAGAUCAGGGACUCAUGGGAAGAUAUCACAACACAACUCUACAAAUAAAAUAAGUCAUACAAGCAUCAUAUUACCAGCCAGGAGCCUCGAAGGCUCGAAUACAAGAGCUCGAUCAUAGAUGAGUCAGCAGAAGCAACAACAUCUGAGUAUAGACAUAAGUUAAACAAGUUUGCCUUAAGAAGGCUAGCACAAACUGGGAUACAGAUCGAAAGAGGUGCAUGCCUCCUGCCUGGGAUCCUCCUAAACUACUCCUAGUCGUCGUAAAGUGGGCUGCACGUAGUAGUAGGCACAUCCCGAGUAGUAGUAGUCGUCAUCGACGGUGGCGUCUGGCUCCUGGGCUCCAACGUCUGGUCACAGCAAUCGGGUAUAGAAAGGAGGAAAAGAGGGAGCAAAGCAACCGUGAGUACUCAUCCAAAGUACUCGCAAGCAAGGAGCUACACUACAUAUGUAUGCAUUGGUAUCAAAUGGAAUAAGGGUAUCAUAUGUGGACUGAACUGCAGAAAGCCGAAAUAAAAGGGGGAUAGCUAGUCCUGUCGAAGACUACGCUUCUGGCCACCUCCAUCUUGCAGAAUGUAGAAGAGAGUAGAUGGUAAGUUCACCAAGUAGCAUCGUGUAGCAUAAUCCUAACCGAUGAUCCUUCCCUCGUCGCCCUGUGAGAGAGCGAUCACCGGUUGUAUCUGGCACUUGGAAGGGUGUGUUUUAUUAAGUAUCUAGUUCUAGUUGUCAUAAGGUCAAGGUACAACUCCGGGUCGUCCUUUUACCGAGGGACACGACUAUUCGAAUAGAUCAACUUCCCUGCAGGGGUGCACCACAUUUCCCAACACGCUCGAUCCCCUUUGUCCGGACACACUUUUCUGGGUCAUGCCCGGCCUCGGAAGAUCAACACGUCGCAGCCCUACCUAGGCACAACAGAGGUCAGCACGCCAGUCUAAAUCCUAUGGCGCAGGGGUCUGGGCCCAUCGCCCUUUGCACACCUGCACGUUGCGUACGCGGCCGGAAGCAGAACUAGCCCCCUUAAUACAAGAGAAGGCUUAUGGUCCAAUCCGGUGCGCGCCGCUUAGUCGCUGACGCCACGAAGGCUUCGACUGAUACCACGACGUCGAGUUCCCAUAACUAUCCCCGCGUAGAUGGUUAGUGCGUAUAGGCCAGUGGCCAGACUCAGAUCAAAUACCAAGAUCUCGUUAAACGUGUUAUCUUGAAAUAACCGCGAAUGCCGACCAGGGCCAGACCCACCUCUCUCCUAGGUGGUCUCAAUCUACCCUGUCACCCCGCCACAAAGAUCCACUCAGAGGGCCGUCGGGACUAACGUACUUUCGGACCCAAUCCGUGAAUCACUCGCGGGUACUCCUACGAGCCGACCCAUCUUUAGUCACCACAAGUAUCAUAUAUUAUGUAUAUAAGUAUAUACCCCUGACCACCUCCCGAGUGAUCACGGCCCGAUAGUAUAGCAUGGCAGACGGACAAGAAUGUAGGGCCACUGAUGGCAACUAGCAUCCUAUACUAAGCAUUUAGGAUUGCAGGUAAGGUGUCAACAGCUAUAGCAACAAUGACAGGCUAUGCAUCAGAAUAGGAUUAAUGGAAACCAGUAACAUGCUACACUACUCUAAUGCAAGCAGUAUAGAGAAGAGUAGGCGAUAUCUGGUGAUGGGGGGGGGGCUUGCCUGGUUGCUCUGGCAAGAGAGAGGGGUCGUCAACACCGUAGUCGUACUGGGUAGCAGCGGCGUCGGUCUCAGUGUCUAGCGAGAGAAGAUGGGGAAGAAACAAUAAAUAUAAUGCAAACAAAUGCAUGACGAUGCAUGACAUGACAAAGCGUGAUGCUAGGUGUGCCCUAACGCGGUACGAGGUGGUACCGGUGAAGGGGGAAAACAUCCAGGAAAGUAUUCCCGGUGUUUCGCGUUUUCAGACAGAUGAACCGGAGGGGGAAAGUUGUGUGUUUGCUAUGCUAGGGAUGCGUGGCGGACGAACGGGCUGCGUUUCCAGAUUCGUCUCGUCGUUCUGAGCAACUUUCAUGUACAAAGUUUUUCGAUCCGAGCUACGGUUUAUUUUAUAUUAAUUUUAAAAGAUUUAAAUGAUUUUUAGGAUUUAUUUAAGUAAUUAAAUCAACAUUAUCCAGAAUAGUGUUUGCUAACGUCAGCAUGGCGUCAGCAGUUGACCUGGUCAAGCUGACAGGUGGGUCCCGUUCGUCAUUGACUGUUUAGUCUAAUUAGGGUUUAAUUAACUUAACUAAUUGAUUAGAUUAAUUAAACAUGAGUAAUUAACUUAAUUCAUUAAUUAAUUAAUUUAAUUAUUAUUAUUAUAUAUAUUAUUUAUUUAUUUAUUUAAUUCUUUUUUUUCAUUUUUGUUCUGGGGCUAGGCCCCACAUGUCAUUGGCCCUAGGGGCCAAUGCGGUUGCGGGUAUCGGGCGAUGGAUGCGGGCGCAUGGGCGCCCGUUACGGUGCUCGCCCAGGGGCACGCGGGGCGGGAUGCAGAUGGCAGCAACCAGCGGGCGCGGCGAGCCGGCCUCAGGCGAAAGGGCGACGCUGGCGCGGCCUGGCGCAGUAGGAGGGGAGGUGGCACGGGUCAGGCGAUGGCGCGCCGUAAAUCGCGGCAGCAGCAGGGGAGCAUGUGCGCGUGGGGUGAGCGAUGGUGGCGGUUGGAGCCGGCGGACGCAGGAGUAGGGGAGCGGAGCGGGGUGCGCUGCAGGGCGCGGGGGGCGGCAAGCAACGACGGGGCGCGGUGCGGCCGUGGCGAUUAGAGGAGGCAGCUGCAGCAGGGCCGCACGCAAGGGGCACUGGCGGGCGAGGUGGGGCGGAGUAGAGGUCGGGCCGCGGCGGCGAACGCAGGGCUUCAGGCACGGUGCGCGGUGACAACAACAACGACAGUUGCGGGGCGCGGGCGCGUGAGCGGCUGCCGGCGGACGAGGCCAGGCAGAGCGGGAGCGGGGCGGGGUACGUCGUCUGGGCGCGAGAGCGCGAGCGCGUGGUUGUGCGCUGAGCGCGGCGAGCAGGGCCAGUGGAACCGGGCGCUGGCGAGCAGGAGGGCACCGCAACGCGCGUGCGGGCAGGGGCUUGAGGAGCACGGCCACGGCAGCGACAACGAUCGUGAGCUACGGCGUGGGAGCAGACAACCGCGACGGAGGGCGUGCGACAGAGGAGGAGAGGGGAGGUCGAGGCUCACGGUGGGUGUAGGGAUCGGGGCAAUGGGGCGUGAGGGGGAAGACGGAGAUGACGGCGGAGAGGAAGCAGGCCGGCGAGGAAGGUCCGACGGGGAAGCUUCGGCGGCGGCGUCCAACGGCGACGGGCGGCGCGGUCGUCAUGGCGAGGGCGAGGCGGCGACCUCCUCCUCUCAAUCCCNNNNNNNNNNNNNNNNNNNNNNNNNNNNNNNNNNNNNNNNNNNNNNNNNNNNNNNNNNNNNNNNNNNNNNNNNNNNNNNNNNNNNNNNNNNNNNNNNNNNNNNNNNNNNNNNNNNNNNNNNNNNNNNNNNNNNNNNNNNNNNNNNNNNNNNNNNNNNNNNNNNNNNNNNNNNNNNNNNNNNNNNNNNNNNNNNNNNNNNNNNNNNNNNNNNNNNNNNNNNNNNNNNNNNNNNNNNNNNNNNNNNNAGUGGGCUGGCCAGCAGCUGGGCCGGCUGGCCCAGCGGGAGGGGGUUCUGUUUUAUUUUAUUUUUUUGUUUUCUUUUCUUUUCUUUAUUUUAUUUACAUUUCUGUUUUAUUUCAUUUAAAAUAUUUAUGCAUUUUCUAAACAUGUGUUUUCUUCACCAUAAUUAACUAUGUAAUAUUAUGCACAAACUGGACAUUUUUGUUUUAACGUUUGUGUAAGUGCAUCUAGUGCCACCCCUAGUUGGUUUUGGAGUAUUGACGACAAACCUAGUUGAGGGACUAAUGUGUUUGUGAGAAUUGCAGGAUAACACAGGUAGAAGUCCCUGAUUGAUUCGGUUUUCCUACCAGAGAUGACCCCUAAAAAUGUAUGAAGACAUUGAAGUCAAAGGUGGUAUGUGAAGACAUUCACAUUGAAGUCUAUGACAAGAGAAGACAUCACAUGAAGACUAUGGAGCGCGAAGACUUAGUUGUUUCCUCGUUCUUUUUCUUCUUUGUUGAGUCAUAGGAACCACCGUACUAUUAAGUGGGGUCCAAGUGAACCAGUCAGAAUGACUGAAGUGAUGCUUAACCAAAAUCCUAUGUCUUCGAGUGAAGACUAUGAGAGCAAAUCUUGUCCAGAGUUGGAUAAGUCAGCUUUGCUUGUAGCCCAAGUAAAGUUGCCGUGUGUGUUUGAAAUCUGACCGUUGGAACACGUGUCAGUUCCUUAGUGACCGAGGAUCAUUUCGGACAAAUCAGGUCGGGUUGCCUAGUGGCUAUAAAUAGCCCACCCCCUACAACCAUAAAUGGUUGGCUGCUCAGAGUUAGUGUACGGAUUUUGUCGUUUGAGAGCAACCCACCUCGAAGCCUUUGAGAGAGAAUUCCUUGCGAGGAUAAAGCCCUAACCACCCAGAGCCAAAGAGAGUUAGGCAUCACUGAAGUCUUCCUGUCUGUGUGAUCUAAAGACUUAUUACACUUGAGGACUAUGAAUCCUCCAGCCGGUUAGGCGUCGCGUUCAGAGCAUCCAAGAGUCAUUGUGGAUCGCCGGUGAACGAAGUCUGUGAAGGUUUGGAAGUCUACCUUGAAGACUUACCAGAGUGAUUGGGCAAGGACUGGGUGUCCUUAGCUCAAGGGGAAUAAGGUGAAGAUGCAGUCUUCUGAGUUGAAUCUCAGCCUCCCUAACCAGAUGUACAGUUGUCAAAGCAACUGGAACUGGUCCAACAAAUCAUUGUCUUCAACGAGUCACUGGUUUCAUCCUUCCCAUUCCUUUACUUACUGUUGGCCCUGGUGAAGCCAUUGCAUGAUUGCAUUAUCUUUUGUCUUCAUUGAGUGACUGCUUGUUCUGAUUGGCUUCACUAUAUCUUCCUACCUGAUCUUUACUGCCUAGCUGCUAUUAGUCAUUGUGCUUUCACUUCAUUGAAUACUUGACUAUGGUUUGCCUAGUGUAGUCUACCUUCCGCUGCAUGGUAAUAGGUUUAUUUCUAUCAUUUGUCUUCGAAACUUCCACGUUUUGAAGGCUUUCAUAAAAAUCGCCUAUUCACCCCCCUCUAGUCGGUCACUAGCACUUUCAAUUGGUAUCAUAGCAAGGUACUCCCUUGUUCUGUAUGAUUAGGUUUAACCACCUGGAGUUUUAGCUAUGUCGACUGCAGGGAUAAUCAAAGUCUCCGCUCCGUGCCCAGUCUUCGAUGGAACUGAAUAACCCUACUGGAAGAAUAAGAUGCGCAUGCAUCUUGAAGCCAUUGAUGUCGACCUAUGGUAUGUCAUCAAGAAUGGCGUUCCCAAGGCUGGUGAAGGUGUCAUCGCUGCUGAUGUCAAGAAGUUCGUUCAACUGGACUCCACUGCCAAGAACAUCAUCUGUGGUCAUCUGACCAAAGGACAAUAUGGCCGUGUGAGUGCUUUGGAAACAUCUAAGCUAGUCUGGGACUGGCUCUCCAAGGUCAACGAAGACGUCUCAACCCAGAGAGAUCAGAGAAUCAGUGUCCUUCGCAAUCUCAUCAACCGCUUCAAGAGAAAUGACAAUGAGAAUGUUCAGCUCACGUUUGAUCGACUCACUGACAUCAUAAAUGAGCUUCAAGCCCUCGGCGCCACUGAGAUCACCAAGCAUGAAGUCAUCAAGACACUCCUGAGAUCACUUGACAGCUCGUUUGACACCCUAUCCCUGAUGAUUCAAGAACGUCCUGACUUCAAAACACUCGAUCUGUCUGACAUACUUGAGAGGCUCAACACACACGAGUUUCAGCUUUCUGAGAAAAGAGACAUCUACGGUCCUAACUAUGGGCGAACUCGUGCCUUGAAGGUAAAAACUGUCUCCUCAUCUGAAGAAGAGUCUGACAGCAGUUCUGAUGAUCCUGAAGACAUUGGAAAGGAGCUUGCUAUGCUUGUGAAGAAGUUCCAAAAAUUCACCAAGAAGAAAGGCUUCAGAAAGUCCUCACGAUCAAGCUCAAGGAAUGAUGAAGCUUCUGCUCAUGACUACAAGAAGAGAACAUGCCACAAGUGCAAGAAACCUGGCCACUACAUCUCUGAGUGUCCGCAGUGGGACAAUGAGAACAAGAAGAAAAAGAAGAACAAGGAGUAUGAUUCUGACGAAAAGAAGAAGAAGAAAUACACAAAGUCUUCUUCCAAGUCCUCCUCAAAGUCUUCAUCACACAAGAAGAGCUCAUCUGGCAAGGCACGUGCGUUUGUUGGCAAGGAAAUGGAUUCAGAGGAGGAGCCCGCUUCUGAGGAGGCGGAGGUGGAGUCUGAGGAGGAGUCCGAUUCUGGCGUUGCGAGUCUGGCUACGUCAUACGUUGCCAAGUCCAUCUUCAACACUGAAGACAAUGACUCCGUCACCGACACCGAUGCAAAUGACAAGGACUACUCCGCUCCUACCUACUGCUUCAUGGCACGCGGUGCCAAGGUAAACACACGCACUACUCACUAUCAAACUUCCAGUGAAGAUGACUCUGAUUGUGGUUCCAAACCCAGCUACAAAACACUUGCUAAAAUUGCAACUGAACAACAGAAAGCUAUGGAACAUAUUCAAAAACUGUUAGACAAAAGCGAUGACCUGUUAGACGCUGAAAUGACUCGAUCUCAGUCCUUAAUUGAAGACAUAAAAAAUCUUCACGUUAAGUAUGAGGAACUUGAAAGUCAUCAUGAAACGCUCUCAACAACUCAUGAAAAACUUUCCUAUGAUUAUCUUCAAAGGAAGCAAGAUCUUGAGAAAUUGAGAGCGGCUCAUGAAGAUCUUCAAAAGGAAAACGAGUCACUUCGUGCCAAACAGAUCAGUUUCGCUUAGGAAGGAUUUGAACCACCAUGUCUUAAAUGUAUUGAGCGUGACAACGCUACUUCUGUUGCUGGUUGUUCUACUGUUGCUACUAUUGCAAUAUCUUCAACUGCUGGUGUGCCAACUAACCCCUCUGCUGAGGAUGCCACUGCUAUUGCUGAUGAGAAUGCUAGGUUGAAGACAUUGCUUGAAACUGGGAUGUUCAAAAGCCUCAAAGGGCAUCAGACACUAUGUGAUGUCCUCAAAAGGCAGAUCCUGAACCGAAACCCUAGGAAAGAGGGUGUUGGGUUCGAAAGGAAAAUGAAUGCUGAUGGCUCUUACUGGAAACCUGAGCAGUACCCCAAAACCACAUGGGUUGCUUCAAAGGGACCUUCAGUGGAUCCAUCCAUCCUAUCUGGCUUCACUUGUGCUAAUCCCAUUGUUAUUGAUGAAUCCUUUGAUGUAAACUAUAAACAGUUUAAGAAUCAGAAGGGUGAAGUGUUUGCCAGGUAUAUUGGUACUAACUGCAGGAAUGGACCGCCUAUGAAGAAGGUCUGGGUGCCGAAAAGGUGUUUGGAGAAUCUUCCUGUGAAUGUCGUCAUGACACCGCAUGUGAAGAAGACAGACCCUAGACCACAGGCUUCAUACGGUCCAAAGGCUUCAUAUAGACAGAGGACUCACCUGAGUCGCACUAACGCAAAUGUUUUGCAGGGAAGCCAUACUCAGGCCUAUGAAUAUGAGCGCGUUUCAUCAAACCGCCAUGUUCAUAAGACCAAGAACUAUUUUGCUUAUUCUUAUGAGUACUAUUGUCCACCUGCAAGUUUUUUUGCUAGGGCUCCAAAGCCAAAGUUCUCAGAUGCUGCACUUAGACUCAUUGCUUCAAAGCGACCCUUGAAGAUGUGGGUGGCUAAGAAAGCUUAACUCUCUUUUGCAGGGAAAGGUCUCCAGCCGAAAACCAAAAUCGUCUGAAGCUAUUGCUGGGGACCUUAAACAUCUUGUAGGGCGCAAGAUCAAAUGCCCAAAUGGUCUUAUUAUGUAUUUUGUUCCAGAGUCGCUUGCUACUUGCCCUAUCAGUCCUAACCUCGAUCUAAGCUUUCAUAAUCCACUUGCUCGUCAAAUGUUUUUGCUUCACAACUCUCUUCGUGAAGCCUAUCCCCCUAACUGCACUGUAGGGUACGACACCAACUACUUCAGAAUGGAUUAUUGAUAGUGGGUGUACUAAUCACAUGACUGGCAAGCGAAGUCUUCUUAUGGACUCAACCUUACGUCCAUCCGACAAAAGUCACAUCACAUUUGCUGACACUGGUAAAAGUAAGGUAUUGGGUCUAGGUAGAGUUGCAAUCUCAAAGGAUCAACACAUGGAUAAAGUCAUGCUUGUUGAAUCCCUUGGUUUCAACUUAAUGUCUGUCUCAAUGCUUUGCGAUUUAAACAUGAUUGUGAUGUUUGGAAAAUAUCGUUGCCUUGUUCUAAUGGAAUCUGACAAGUCUCUAGUGUUUGAAGGGUAUCGGAAAGAUGAUUUGUACGUGGUAGAUUUCUCAGCAGGACCACAACUUGCCGUAUGUCUUCUAGCAAAAGCUUCAGAAUGCUGGCUCUGGCAUCGGAGGCUAGGGCAUGCUGGCAUGAGGAACUUGCACACUCUUGCAAGAAAGAAGCAUGUCAUAGGCAUCGAGGGCAUCAAGUUCAAGAAGGAUCACUUAUGCGGUGCCUGUGAAGCAGGAAAGAUGACGAGGGCCAAGCAUCCCUCGAAGACAAUCAUGACAACGACUCAACCCUUCGAACUGCUCCACAUGGACCUUUUCGGUCCCACUCAUUACUCAAAUCUUACUACUACCGCUUGUCUCUAUGGCUUUGUCAUUGUUGAUGAUUAUUCAAGAUAUCCUUGGGUGCAUAUAAUCCUCUACAAGACUGAAGUGCAGGAUGUCUUCAGACGCUUCGCCAAUCGAGCCAUGAACAACUAUGGCGUCAAGAUAAAGCACAUCAGAAGUGACAAUGGCACUGAAUUCAAGAACACUGCGCUAGAUACAUAUCUUGAUACCUUGGGCAUCACACAUGAAUUCUCAGCUCCGUACACGCCACAGCAGAAUGGCGUCGUCGAACGCAAGAACAUAACACUUAUUGAGAUGGCUCGGACGAUGCUUGAUGAAUACAAGACUCCAAGAAAAUUCUGGCCUAAAGGCAUUGAUACUGCAUGCCAUAUCAUCAACCGUGUUUAUCUUCACAAGCUUCUGAACAAGACAUCCUAUGAGCUCCUUACUGGCAAGAAGCCAAAUGUCAGUUACUUGAGAGUAUUUGGUGCCAGGUGCUGGAUCAAGGAUCCACAUCACACUUCAAAAUUUGCACCAAAAGCACAUGAAGGUUUUAUGCUUGGAUAUGGAAAGGAUUCGCACUCCUACAGAGUCUUCAACCUCUUUCACUAUAAAGUGGUUGAAACUGUGGAUGUGCGGUUCGAUGAGACUAAUGGCUCGCAAAGAGAGCACCUGCCAAAUGUGCUAGAUGAAGUUCCAUCCAGUGAAUCAAUCAAACUUAUGGGAACUGGAGAAAUCAUACAAUCUGAAGCUCAGCCUGAAGAGGAACUUAUCAUCUCCGCACCUGAUCAACCUGAAGACAAUGCUCAGCCUGAAGACAAUCCUUCUAACGAUGAAAAUGAUCAGCAAGAGCAAAAUCUUCGUCCUGUACAUCCUCGUGUUGCAAAUGAAGUACAGAUUGAGAGAAUAAUUGAUAGCAUCAAUGCACCAGGUCCACUCACUCGUUCAAGGGCAACAUAGCUAGCUAAUUUCCAUGGGCACUUCGCAUUCAUAUCAAUAUCUGAACCCAAGAAAGUUGAUGAAGCCUUCAUGGAGCCUGAAUGGAUUCAAGCUAUGCAAGAAGAGCUUCAGCAAUUUGAACUGAAUAAUUUAUGGGAACUGGUUAAGCGUCCUGAUCCUCGCAAGCACAAUAUAAUAGGCACCAAAUGGAUAUAUCGCAACAAGCAAGAUGAGCAUGGUCAAGUUGUCAGAAACAAAGCUCAUCUCCUUGCUCAAGGAUACACUCAAGUUGAAGGGAUUGACUUCGAUGAAACAUUUGCUCCUGUGGCUAGACUUGAAGCCAUACGCAUACUGCUGGACUAUGCAAAUCAUCAUAACAUUCUUCUGCAUCAAAUGGAUGUGAAGAGCGCUUUUCUCAAUGGCAAGAUUGACGAAGAAGUGUAUGUUGCACAACCGCCUGGCUUUGAAGAUCCAAAACAUCCUGAUAUGGUGUACAAGCUCAACAAGGCAAUGUAUGGCCUCAAACAAGCCCCUAGGGCUUGGUAUGACACACUCAAAGACUUCCUGAAGAGCAAAGGCUUCAAACCUGGUUCCCUCAACCCCACUCUCUUCACGAAGACAUAUGAUGGUGAACUGUUUGUGUGCCAAAUAUAUGUGGAUGACAUUAUCUUUGGCUGCACCAAUCAGAAAUACACUGAUGAGUUUGGAUAUAUGAUGCAAGAGCAAUAUAAGAUGUCCAUGAUGGGAGAGCUGAAGUUCUUCCUUGGUCUUCAAAUACGUCAGCAACGCAACGACAUCUUUAUAUCUCAAGAGAAAUACCUCAAAGAUUGCCUGAAGAAAUUUGGAAUGCAAGAUUGCAAAGGCUACACGACGCCAAUGCCAGCCAAACAUCAUCUGGGUCCCGACGACAAUGGUAAAGAGUUUGAUCAAAAGGUAUAUCGCUCCAUGAUUGGUUCCUUGCUUUAUUUAUGUGCAUCUAGGCUAGAUAUCAUGCUUAGUGUUUGCAUGUGUGCCCGGUUCCAAGCGGCACCAAAGGAAUUGCAUCACUUAGCUGUGAAGCGAAUUCUCAGAUAUUUGGCUCACACCCCAACACUAGGAUUAUGGUAUCCAAAGGGCUCAGAGUUUGAUCUAGUUGGAUUCUCGGAUGCUGAUUAUGCUGGUGACAAGGUGGAUCGCAAGUCUACAUCAGGCACAUGUCAUUUUCUGGGACGAUCACUUGUAUGUUGGUCUUCAAAGAAGCAGAACUGUGUAUCUCUCUCCACUGCUGAAUCUGAAUACAUUGCUGCUGGAUCUUGUUGCGCUCAACUUCUAUGGAUGAAGCAAACACUCAAAGACUAUGGCAUUCACCUGAAGCAAGUGCCACUCUAUUGCGACAACGAAAGCACCAUCAAGAUUGCCAACAACCCAGUUCAGCACUCGAAGACAAAGCACAUUGAAAUUUGUCAUCACUUUCUCAGAGAUCAUGUUGUGAAGGAAGAUAUUGAUAUCAUACACGUCAACACUGAAGAGCAAUUGGCAGAUAUCUUCACCAAGCCUUGGAUGAGAAGAGGUUUUGCAAGUUACGGUGUGAGCUAAAUAUCUUGGAAUCCUCAAAUGUCCUGUGAUCAGGCACACAUCCUAACACUUAUGCAUGUUGAUGACUUAGAUGUGCAACACACGAAGUAAAGUAUAUCUUCAAUAUAUGAAGACUUACAUUCUGAGUGUGAAUACAUUAACGUGGAAUUUGACUCCCGAGCACCACAAUAAUUGUGUGCCGUGUCUGGGUCUAAUACUUCCUAUACGAUGGGUAACGCCACCACCAAAUUCUUCUAUUGAAGUGUUUUACCCAUGGCGUUACAUUUGCUAUGUCUUCACAUUUGGUUUGUCUUCAUUUUCAACUUGUCUUAAUGAUUAUCUUCACUAUGUUGAUAUGAUUGUCUUCUGGUAUAUACUGCUUUGGUUUGGUUUCUGUCCUCUACAGCAUUCACUUAUAGCUAUGGCUUCUUGAUGAAUCUUUUGAACUAAGUGAAUGUGAUCAGACCCUAACCCCUCUAUGCUUCUUUCCUAAGUCUAUCUAUUCAAAUCAUAUGCAUUCUAUUGACACUGUCAAAUGUCUUCUCUGCCUCAAUGUCAGCAGAAGACACAGAGACAAACAUUAAUCCAUUUUCAAUGCUAAAUCCUUUCACCUGAAACCCGGAGAAGUGGGAACGACCACCCGACAAUCCAGGCGUGCGUGGGAACAUGGAACAACCUCCGAUGUGUCGCAUGAUAGCCACGUGUCCCUCAGAUGUGAAUUGCCAGGGGCACUUGUGUAAUAACUUUGUGCCGUCCCUAUCCUACACGCCUCAGCACAGACAUUAUCCUUUCUUCCACUCUCGCACAAACCCUAGAGCCACCGCUAGCCCUCGACGACACCGGUGACGAAGCGCUUAGCUACCGCGACCUCACCGACGCCGUCUUCACGCCGGCCGCGGACAUCGUCUUCUCCGCCAUUGCCGUAGGUGACCUCUGUCGCCAAGUUAGGGCACGGACGAUCGAACUGCUCGGCCUCCUCUCCCACUCCGUCUAGAAGUUCUUCGUGUGGUAAAUAAAACUUCCUUUUUACGGCCCCCUUUGAUCCUAUAGAUUCAUCACUUUCUACCAUAAGAAGUUUCUAUUCACACAACUGACUGACUGAAGUGGGUGCCAACCAUUCAGUGACUGACUGAAUUUUGCCGGGGCCUACUACUACACCUUCUCCCGAUAUAAUAUGUCCAAGGAACCCGACUUCCUUCAACCAAAAUUCGCAUUUGCUAAACUUAGCAUACAACUAGUGUUCCCCGACUUUCUCGAGAACUAAGUGCAAACGCUCCUUGUGCUCCUCCUUGUUCUUCGAGUAUACCAUAAUAUCAUCAAUAAACACCAGAACAAACUUGUCCAAAUACUCCAUGAACACCUUGUUCAUCAUGCUCAUGAAAUAGGCAGGGGCGUUAGUCAGUCCAAAUGACAUGACCGUGUACUCGUAUAAUCCAUAUCGUGUUGUGAACGCUGUCUUCGGUAUGUCCUUCUCUCGUAUCUUCAACUGAUGAUACCCCGAUCGCAAAUCGAUCUUCGAAAACACUUUAGCUCCUUGCAACUGAUCAAACAGAUCGUUGAUCAUCGGCAGUGGGUACUUGUUCUUAAUCGUCACUUCAUUUAAUGCUCGAUAAUCAACAACCAUCCUCAGGGAUUUAUCCUUCUUCUCAACCAAAAGUACUGGGGCUCCCCAAGGUGAUGAACUUCUUCGGAUGUAUCCUUUCUCCAAUAAUUCCUUGAUCUGUUUCUUAAUUUCUUCUAGAUCAUUUGCGGGCAUCCGAUAGGGUCUCUUGGAUAUUGGUCCUAUACCUGGCAACAGCUCUAUCAAAAACUCAAUGUAUCUAUCCGGUGGCAUGCCUGGUAACUCCUCUGGAAAAACAUCCGGGUAAUCCUUCACUAUAGGCACUUCCUCCUGAACAACUCCCGUAAGGGCAUUCACUUGACUCCUCCUAGGCACAUGCCUAGAUACAUACUUAAUCCUUUUUCCUUCCAGGGUGGUGAGAUAAAUCGACUUACUAGUACAGUCAAUGCUUCCUCCAAAUUUUGACAUCCAGUCCAUACCCAAUAUCACAUCCAAUCCUUGUGACUCCAAGAUAAUUAGGUCGGACGGAAAAACAUGUGUACCAAUGGUUAAGGGUAUCUGGUCACACCAUCGGCUGGCCAUAUACUCUGCUCCAGGUGAACUUACUAAAAGAGGGGUCCUAAGGGUUUGGGUUGGUAGUUUAAACUUAUCCAUGAAUCCCCUUGAUAUGUAUGAAUGCGAUGCACCAGUAUCGAAAAGAACAAGAGCGGUAAAUGACUUGACCAAAAACUUACCUAUUACCGCGUCUGGCUGCUCUUCAACCUCCUCCACGUUAACAUGGUUCACUUGUCCUUUGUUGAAUGGAUUUGGCUUAUUCCCAGCGCUCCCAUUUCCAUUUCCAUUCUUUCCUUCAGGGCACUCCGUGGCGUAGUGUCCAGUCUUCCCGCACUUGAAACAAGUAACAUGACUUAAGUCCCUUUUGGUGGGUGUGGCUGGGUUGGGGCGGUUAUGAUUAUUGUUGGUUCCGUUCCCAUUCCCAUUCUUAGAACCAUUGUGGUUAUGCGAUCCUCCUCCAGUGUGGUUGUGACCUCCAUGGUUAUGAACAAGUCCUCCCGAGUUCGGGGCUAGGCGAGCUUUCUGCUGAGCUCCUGAGUUAUACUUUCCUUGUCCAUACUUCCUCUUGUGGCUCUCAAUCGGAUGUUGCUUCCCUUCAAUCAUAAGAGCCUUAUCUACCAACUCCUGGUAGUUGUUGAAGGUUGCUACCAUCAACUGCAUACUCAUCUCAUCAUUCAGCCCUUCCAUAAACUUCUCCUGCUUCGCGACAUCUGUGGCCACAUCAUCAGGGGUGUAGCGAUAUAACUUGCUAAACUCAUCCACGUACUGAGCCACAGUACGGUUCCCCUGGCAUAGGUUGCGGAACCCCCGCUUCUUCAUUUGCAUAGCUCCAGUGGAGACAUGGGCUGUGCGAAAAGCUUGUUGAAACUGGUCCCAAGUGACAUUGGCUAUAGGAAAAGUGGUUGUGUAAUUCUCCCACCAUGAGGCUGCUGGUCCAUCUAAUUGAUGUGCGGCAAAGCGCACUCUCUCAGCAUCUGUGCAACCUGGGUGGUCAACUCCCUUCCAAUACAGCGUAGCCAACCGUCCGCAACUAUGGGCUCGGUGCUACUGGAAAACACCGGUGGCUGUAACCUUAGAAAACGGGCUAGGUUGUCCACGGGCGGCGGAUUGUUGUUGGUGUUGUUGUUAUUGUUGCCCUGAUUCUGAACUAGCAAUUGCAUCAACAUAUUCUGCUAUUGGAUCAACUGGGUGAGCUCCGGUGGGAAGGCAAAACCGGUGUCACGUCUCAGAGGCAUCCGAGGGGUUUAGAUGGAAGAGAUUUAGAAUAGAAAAGAGGUCUAAUGAGAAAACACUACCCAUAUGCACAUGAGACAAACACAAUCAUUUCACUCAAUCAAUCAAGCAAGGGCAUACAAAUGAUCUAGAACUAUCGCACAAGUGUUCAACUACUACUAAAUACAUGGGGGAAUACUAGUGAUAUAUGGCAGUCAUCUAGAAAUUUUGAUCGGUGGAAGACUCCAUGAUGUCUGCUCCGGCUUCAUCUUCAUAGUCAUCAUCACUAGGAUCGGAAUCGGUGUCGUCGAUGAUGAUGUAGUUGUCCGGGCAAGUGGGAUCUUCAUCUUCGUCUCCCGGUGCUGGUCCUCCCAAGAUUACUCCGAUCUUCUUGACUAGGUCGUCAUUCUUAUCCAGUAGUGUCUUGAUUUCCUCCUCAUACCCAUCGCGUGUAAACUUGAGUUCUUCCUCUAGCUCGAUGAUCCUAGUCUUCGCCUUCUUUAAGUCCAUCAUGUCUGCGCACAUCUGGUUCUCCUGGCGUCGAAUGUGCUGGUUUAACUCCUGAAUGAAGGCUGCAAUGGAUCUAUCCCUCCUGGUGCUGAUUACUUCUCAUUGCUCGUCUUGGCGCCCACAUAUUUGGUAAAUAGUGUCCUUAAGCUCCCUGUUGUAAACUUCUUCAAUGCGUCCAAUGGUAAUGUGGGCUGCCAUGCUCUUGCCUAGACUCCAGGUGGGUGCUUCGAAAGAAAACUUUAUGGGUUUAGAAGUUGGCGAGAACGUCCUUCCUGGAACUUGUACUUGAAUCAUCCAGCGCUCCUCUUCAGGUAAAGUGGCGUUGUACGUCCCGGUGAAGCUUGGUAUUCCAAUGUUCAAGUACCUAGUGACUUCCUUCAAGUGACGUCCAAAAGGUGUGUCUUCAUCCGGUUGUGCAAAAUUGUUCUUCAUCUCCAUCAUCCUAAAGAGUAGAAAAUGGAGAGGAGUCAGAAAUGAGAAGAGAGGUGUGACCUAGGGUUUAUCUUAGUGGUCGUGUCCUACACUCAGCGUGUGCUCUGAUACCAUCUUGUAGCGACCCGACCUCAGAUGGUUAAGUCUCUGUGCUUCAGUGUCAUCCCUGGAUCGGUAAUGCUGACACACACAGUACCCGAAGGAUUUACAACAGAGUAGCAAUCACACACUUAUUACAUUGAAUGUCUCAAGAGAGAACUUAUUACAAUAAUAUGGCUUAAGGCCAUCUAAUACGAUAAUAGCGGAAGGCUUGGAAGAUAAGGUGAGUCGAUCAACUCCAACGGCAUAACUGAGCUGCACAACAACGACCUAACGAACCUUACUCCUCGUCUGAAAAGUUUGCAACAUAAUACGUUGCAGCCCGAAAACGGGCCAGCACAUGGAAUAUGCUGGCAAAGUAACACAGUAGAGCAAGAACAGAAUAAUGCUAUCACUACAUGCAUAUAUGGCUGGUGGAAAGCUCUAUGGUUAGAGUUUUGCAAAAAGCCAAUUUUUUCCUACAACAAAGGAAUAGAUUUUAAAUUUUACUAUCAUGAUAGUUGAAACAUUAUUGAGAAGGUUCCUCCAACUCAAUCCCUAUUAAAGUGAUUAACAACCCAACAAUAUUAAUUAAACAUGAUGAGAUACAUGUGAUAACCCAAGUACUAGAUACUCAAGAAUUGUCCAUAACCGGGGACACGGCUAACCAUGAUUAGAUUGUACACUCUGCAGAGGUUUGCGCACUUUUCCCCACAAGACUCGAUCUCCUCCGUUGGAUUUCUCGCACUACAGGGUGUUUGAGAAAUGGAUGACCGAGACACAAUCUUUCAGAAACAUUAACUCUCUACUCCGGAUAGACCAUACCAAACCUACAUCCCACUACCUGCUGAUCUGCCUCUUCAACAGCUUCACGUAACUUACUCAACUAUGCUAGAGCCCAUAAUAGCUUGUGGCCGCACACAGAAGUUUCUAGCAUGAAUCAUCUCAGUUCCCUUUGAGCUUGGGUGGCGGUCCAUUGGAAGAUCACACGGGUACUCCGGGAUUUCCAAAAAAAUACAGGCAACACUGGGUACUCCAGGUGCCUCAAUCCACCCAGUUAUUUGAUUAAGUUGCCACCUUAAGUUGAAUCAUUAAUUUAACAAUCUCACAUCUGUCAUGGAUUUCACUCAAACCCAAACCACGUCUACGAGCAUAGCAUAGCAUAGUAAUAUAAGCAACACAUAGAGUAACUCCCAAGGGUUUGAAUGUAACAGGGCAAUAGGUUCUACCUCAUCAACUACUUCCCAACCCACAAGUUAAUGACAUCCUAAUCAUGCAAUGUUUGAGGAUUGAAACUAAUGCAUAAAAACUGGGUGAUAAAGGGGUAUGAUCAAAGUGUUACUUGCCUUGCUGACGAUCUCGAAACCUAGGGACUCGUAGUAGCACGCUUCGCACUCCGGGUGUUCUAUCGCAAGCAAACAAUAGCAUACAUAAGUAACAAGCAACGAUGCACAAGCAAAACUCAAAUAAAAGAGGUUGACCAGAAAGUUCAAAUUAAGAACUCUGGUUCGCAAAAAGAAUCAAAUCAAAUGGAGCAAUGAAACUCAAACGGCAAAAGAAAGAAGCUUCGUUUACUAAUCUAAAACUAGGUCAAAUUUUACAGUAGAGAAAACUUGUUUGAGUUGAUUAAACGGAAAGAGGGUUUUGAGAUGAAACUCUAGGAGCUUGAAUCGCCUGAUUCCGACUAACGAGCGAAAAGAUAAACAGAAACUAUGAUCGGAUCAGAAAUCGCGAUCAGAGAAAAUCGCGGAUUAAAUCCGAUAAAAGAAAACUGACAGACAGACUAACGAACGAGCAUUCGUUAGCUGUAUCUAACGGGCGAAGUACCAUUCGUUAACACGAACGUUCGGACGAACGUCCGCUAAUUAGAAGAACCGAGAAAAAUCGGCGAAUCCGAAAAAAACGGAUCUAGGGUUUCAAAAAAAGAAUGGUUUUAUAAAAAACCGGCGGCAGAGUCCGGCGACUACCUCCGGCGAGGGGUCCGGCAAGGCGAGGUGCGGCGGUGGAGCGGCGGCUCGCGGGGGCGGUGGCGGCGUUCGGCGGCNNNNNNNNNNNNNNNNNNNNNNNNNNNNNNNNNNNNNNNNNNNNNNNNNNNNNNNNNNNNNNNNNNNNNNNNNNNNNNNNNNNNNNNNNNNNNNNNNNNNNNNNNNNNNNNNNNNNNNNNNNNNNNNNNNNNNNNNNNNNNNNNNNNNNNNNNNNNNNNNNNNNNNNNNNNNNNNNNNNNNNNNNNNNNNNNNNNNNNNNNNNNNNNGGGGCGGCUUGGAGGAGGGGUCAAGGCGGCGGCGGAGGAGUGGAGUCCGGCUCGGACUCCUUGUCCGAGUCGGCAGCGCGCGCGCGGGGGCGGCGGCCUGGCUCGGCUGGGCCUUAGGCCCAGUCGGGCGCGGGAACUUAAAAAAAAAA
rnacentral:lncRNA from 1 species